AUCAGUUCGACGUUAGACACUAGUUAGGGAAUGUUAGUUAUGUUGCGGUGCAAAUUCAUAACCAUUUUUAUGAUUUUAUGCUGUUGCAAUAGUAUUCGUACGUGACUGUUUUCAAUGUUGACAUUUUGCUUUUGUACAGACAGUCGCACUGAUGAGUUGUUGAGUUGAGUUGAUGAAAAAACAAAUAUAAGAAAAGCAAGAAGUUCCUCAAAUUCUGACAAAUCGUCUGGUCCGCGCGGUCCGUUUUCUUUCGAUGUCGUUCACAAGAGGUCGUGGAUGCCGGCACUAAUUCUACUCCCGCACCACUCAAUAAAUUCUUCACGGCGGACGUGGCGGAUUCAAGUUUAUCGUAACGAUGUGCUUGAGGAUGUGCUGCUGCCUACGAUGUUCAACACGUCGUGUGACUACCUGCAUAAUGCUCCCUCCGGAACUCAUGUACUGCAGCUGGAACAACAACAUCGGAUGAAUCGAGGGGGACGACACUUCCGCUUUUAUAGAAAAACUAACAAAAAAGUCUAUCUUUCU